AAGGAGCAAAGGGGACUCGGCCGCCAUGUUAGGAGUACUGGGACGAUUCCGCGGAGCCGGGCAGAGGUUUUAGGGGAAUGAUUAACAAAGGCGUCCGAAGAAAUCGUUGUUGGAAGGUGACCAAGGUGGAAAGAGACGUUGCUUUGGCCCUGCAAGUAAGAAGAGAGAGGGAAUAGCCUGAAGGAGUAACACUAAAUUUAAAAUGACACUUUUUUACCAACCAGCGAAAGCAGAUGUUCAAAGGGGAUAUUGGCCAGAGUCUGUCACACUAAGAUGAGAAAUGUCCUUUCUUCCUGAAGGUGUCUGAUGUGUAAAAAUAUGAUAUACUUUGUGCUGUUUCCUCCCUUCCCUUUUGCAUAUUAUUCUGAAACAACAUUAACUAGUUACUUUGCGUCAUUGAAGAACUCACUUUGAGGCCAAGCGUGGUUGCUCAGGCCUGUAAUCCCAGCACUUUGGGAGGCCGAGGCAGGUGGAUCACCUGAGGUCAGGAGUUGGAGACCAGCCUGGCCAACACGACAAACCCCGUCUCUACUAAAAAUACAAAAAUUAGCCUGGCAUGGUGGCACACACCUGUAAUUCCAGCUGCUCGGGAGGCUGAAGCAUGAGAAUCACUUGAACCUGGGAGGCAGAGGUUGCAGUGAGCCAAGGUUGCAGUGGAUCAAGAUCACACCACUGCACUCCAGCCUGGGCAAUAGAGUGAGACUCUGUCUCAAGAAGAAGAAAAAGAAAAAAAACUCACUUUAAACUCUGCUAGACCAUUGCCCUUGUAUGUGAAAUUUUAUCUGGAUAGAAGAAGAUGAGGAAAAAAAUUUUCUUGUCUUUUAGUGGAGGAGAAUGACAUGUAAAACAAGUAUUCUUUAAAAAUUCCAAAUAUGAUAUGAGAACUACCCCAUAAAGUUGUGAAGGUCACAUUGGUGAAAGGAAAACUAAGUGCUGUGUAAAUUACAAAGUUGUCUAAGUAUCCACCUGGUCCUUACCUUGCUAUAGAAUCUUUUUUUUUUUUAGACGGAGUCUAGCUCUGUCGCCCAGGCUGGAGUGCAGUGGCGCAAGCUCCGCUUACUGCAAGCUCCGCCUCCUGGGUUCAUGCCAUUCUCCUGCCUCAACCGCCCGAGUAGCUGGGAUUACAGGUGCCCACCACCACGCCCAGCUAAUUUUUUUUUUUUUUUUGUAUUUUUAGUAGAGACGGGGUUUUCCCAUGUUAGCCAGGAUGGUCUUGAUCUCCUGACCUCGUGAUCUGCCCACCUCGGCCUCCCAAGGUGCUGGGAUUACAGGUGUGAGCCACCACGCCCAGCCUACCUUGCUAUAGAAUCUUUAGGCCUAAUAUAGUCUAGCCAGAACAGCUAUUUGGAUGCUUGCCUAAUCUUCAAUACUGGUUUCCCUUUUAUACAUGACUGCAAAACUGACUCUCACCUAGGUUUGUGAUGUUAGAAACUCCAGUUGUUUACUAUUAUUAUUAAAGUGGGAAACGGAGUUCGUUGAUCAAAUGGAUUAAUGUUUUGAGUACUUACUAUACACCAGGGGCUCUUAAAUUUUUACAUAAACUUUCUGGAUGGAGAGUGAUAGAAUCUCCAUUGUUCACUUGCCACAAGCCACACCAUUUGUAGCUAACAUUUGAAUGCUUACUAUGAGCAAAGGCACUGUUCCAAGGGCAUUACAUGCACAUCAUUCAUAUUUCUCAUUUAAUCUUUAUAACAACUCCUUAAAAUACUGGUAGUAUUCUUGUUCCCUAAUUUGUCAAUAAGAAAACUGAAAUUUAGAGAUUAUACAAUUUGCCCAGCACUAUUGGAAAGCUGGGACUUUGAAACCUGGCUGAUUUGACUCCAAAGUCUGCACUCUAUUCCAACAGACUGCCAGUGCCUCCAGAAUUAAUUAGCAUUAAUAUUUUCUGUUGUUUAUGAUCUAAGUAUGGCUGUCCAUGGCAGGGAGUUAAUGAGGGAGGCAUUAAUGGGGAAACACUGGACCACUUCUGAGAGAUGUGGUGCCCUCCCUCACAAACAGGUUUCUUGUGGUGAAAUCAGGUUGGAAGGAUAAGAGAGGCUGAAGAAGGUGGAGGUGGUGUAGUUGGGCCUGUUUAGGAACUGAUUACAUCUGAGCCUCUGGCCCUUUUUCCUGCCAGCUGACUCAGAGCUGGCAGAUGGGCCAAAGUCCAGGCAGGUUGAUUUCAUGGGCUGUAUACUUCAAAGGAUCUGAUUCCUGGUGCUACUAAGCACAUUGCUUUUCCGAAGGCACAGUCUUGUGGGGGAGGGAACAGGAUGGUCUCCAUGAGGUGUUUGUGAAAGCCCUAGGCAAUGUUUGCUCUAAUCCAAAUAUAUACAGCUUGUUUUGAGUUUGGCAAUAAAACACAGAGCCAGCCCUAAGCAGGGCUGAAAACUGAGUAUUUAAACCUUAAGUAUUCUGCAAUACAACAACAGUUAAGUAUAUGGGUCCUAGAGUCAGAUAGAACUGAAAUCUAAUCUUGACUUCACCACUCAGCUGUAGAUAAAUUACUAGACCUCAGUUUUCUUGUUCGUGAAAUGGGGAUUUUAGUUAUAGAGUACCUACUUCAUAUGGUUGUCGUGAGGAUUAAACAAAAAUGUAUACCACAGUACCUGAGAUGUAGUAAACACUCUUGAAACAUUAGUCAUUAUUCAUUUUUUAAAUUUUUCCUUCAAAUACUUUCCUAUCCAAUAGUCAUUAUUCAUUGAAAACUUCUAUUUUAUAAGACGAUCUCAGCACUUAAACAAAAUAAAUUGAUUCAUCAUGUUUUCACUUAACAGGCAUUCAAAAGGCAUUUAUUAUUGUGUUGGGUAGAUGGAUGGAGAAAAUAGCAAUAAUUUUUGUUGAACACCUAAAAUGAGCCAAACUUUUUAAAAAAUAUUGUCUCAUUUUAUGCUCACAACAGCUCUAUGAAGUAUUUUCCUAUAUUAUAGAUGAGAUCAUGGGCCAAGAGAGGAUUAGCAACAUGCCUAAGAUCAUAUAGUCAGCACUGUCUAAUUCUGAAGCCUAUGAAUAAGGUAGCAUUUAUCCCCACGGAAGCAUGGUAUUCAGCAGGCAGGCAGACACAUAAACAAGUACAGCUGGCCCAUCUAGCCUCACGUUCUGCAUCCAUGGAUUCAACCAAAAAUGGAUUUAAAAUAUUGGGGAAAAAACAAAUAAUAAAACAACUAAAAAAUACAAAUUUUAAAAUAUAGUAUAACAACUACUUACAUAGCUUUUACAUUGUAUUAGGUAUUAUAAGUAAUGUAGAGAUGGUUUAAAGUAUACAAGAGAGUCUGGACACAGUGGCUUAUGCCUGUAAUCCCAGCUUUUUGGGAGGCCAAGGUGGGUGGAUCCCUUGAGCCCAGGAGUUUGAGACCAGCCUGAGCAACAAGAUGAAACCCUGUCUCUACAAAAAAUACAAAAAUUAGCCAGAUGUGUUGGUGCAUGCCUGUGGUCCCAGCUACUCGGGAGAGUGAGGUGGGAGAAUCACUUGAGCCUCAGAGAUCGAGGCUGCAGUAAGCUGUAAUCACGCCACUGCACUCCAGCCUGGGUGACAGAGUAAGACCCUGUCUCAAAAGUAAUAAUAAUAAUAAAGUAUACAAGAGGAUGUCAUAUGUUAUAUGCAAAUAUUAUACCUUUUUUUUUUUUUUUUUUUGAGACAGUCUCUUGCUCUGUUGCCCAGGCUGGAGUAGAGUGGUGCUAUCAUAGCUGACUGUAACCUCGAACUCUUUCCUGAACUUGAGUGAUCUUCCUGCUUCAGCCUCCCAAGUAGCUGAGACUACAGGCAUGUGCCAUCACAUCCAGCUAAUUUUUAAUUUUUAAUUUUUUUUGUAGAGAUGGGGUCUCACUGUGGUGCCCAGGCUGUUAUGCCAUUUUAUAUAAGGGACUUGAACAUCUGCAGAUUUCAAGGGGAAAGAGUUUGAGGUUACAGUCAGCUAUGAUAGCACCACUCUACUCCAGCCUGGGCAACAGAGCCAGAGACUGUCUCAAAAAAAAAAAAAAAAAGAGGAGAGUCCUGGAACCAACUCCCCACAGUUAUGGAGGAAGGACUGUACCUACAGUCAAAGUGCUGUCGUUGAGUUUUACACUAGGUGCUUGGGAGAACAGAAUGGAAUAGGUGAACUCUGGGCAUGAAGUGAAGGUAGUCCCCUUCACAGGAAUAAAUGCUAAUAAUGGGGCUUCAGGUGAGAAUGAGGAAGGAAGCCUUUGCUGGUGGAGGAGUUAAGGGAGUUCUUUCUGGGUUUCCCUAAGUCACACUAGAAGAAAAGGGUUACAGGGAGGCCUUUCUGGAAUUCCUCAAGUCAAUAUGACAGCCUCUUAGAUCCAGCAUUACAACUGCAGCAAAUUUUAUAGCUGCAAACAAAGAAACUGUCUCCAGAGAGACAGAUUAUGUUGUUUACUUGAGGCAAAAUGGUGGGGGUUCUAUAUAAAUGAUAUGUCUGCAUCCGAAUCAUCUGUACCUUUUUGGGCUUUAGAACCAAACCUAAUAGUAAUAAUAGCAACCAAUUCUUAACUGCAUGAUCAUUAGGUACUAAUCACUGCUAUGUUCACAGGCUAGAACUCUCAACUGGAGAAAGGUAGAGUUGUUUGUCUAAAUCAAUAAUCUCAAAUUAAGUACACUUAAUUUGAGCAUAUACCCCCAAUAUAUGUAUAUUACUUUAUAAGUUAUACACAUCCACUAUUGGGCUAAUAUAAAAUAUACAUUAUGAAAUGUAAACAAAAAGUUUGAAGGAAUACAAUGAAAAUGAAUAAACUUUUAUCUCAGGGAAAAUAUAUACUUAGGUUUCUGUAUCUUGUUAUUAAGUGGAUACAAAUUAAUACUGUAUUUCAAAUAGAUUUUUUAAUAGUUUUGGAUGUUUUGAGUCAGCUGGUCAGAUUUUGUUAAUCAUUGUAUUUAACUUCAUAAUGUGACUGAUGAAGGGAUCAUACUAAGUAAAAGUGUCAGUUCUGCCAUUUGAGAGUGGGGGAUCCUAUGUAUCAUCUUCAAUUCACAGGGUUUUCUUUUUCCCAGCAAUUUUUUAAAACCAAUUAUUCACUUUGUAAUAUUUCAUUUUGUUAAAGUUAGAUUUUAAAAAUCCAUAAAUCCCCUUUUGAACCACAAUAUGUCACUAAUGCUCAAAGAAAGAAACUCCAUUUGUAUCUCAUCUGAUGUGAGCGUCAAAUAUAGAAACAAUGUGGGGAUGCCAACCUCAAUCCAUAUGGAUGAAUAGGGCUUAAUUUUCUCAUGAUAAACCUAAGUAGAAGCUAUGAAAAUUCUUACCACACUUCAGUGAAUUAUCUUGUAUACCUCUAGAGUGAGCACAUUCCACUUUGGAGAUCAGUAGUCUCAGCAACAAGACCUGUGGCCAUAAAGUGGGAAUAAACAAUCCAAUUUUUAGCAAUGCUUGGCCCAGAUUCACUUAUGAGUGACAUGAGAAAGGUACAACAUGAUAUUCCAGGAAAUCAGAAGAGCUAAGUAUAUCUGAACCUUUGAGAGUAUGGCCUGUCCAUACAAAGGCAGAAUCUACAUUUGUCAAGUGCCUUCAAGAAACAUUCUACCAAGAUAUGCACCUCCACAAAAGUAAGAAAAAGAGAAAAAAAAGAUUUUAAAAUUUUAUUUUAUUUUUUUGAGAUGGAGUCUCGCUCUGUCCCCCAGGUUGGAGUGCAGUGGCGCUAUCUCAGCUCACUGCAAGCUCCGCCUCCCAGGUUCACUCCAUUCUCCUGCCUCAGCCUCCCAAGUAGCUGGGACUACAGGCGCCCACCACCACACCCGGCUAUUUUUUUUUUUUUGUAUUUUUAGUAGAGACGGGGUUUCACCGUGUUAGCCAGGAUGGUCUCAAUCUCCUGACCUCGUGAUCCACCCACCUUGGCCUCCCAAAGUGCUGGGAUUACAGGCGUGAGCCACCGCACCUGGCCUUUAAAAUUUUAUUUUUAAAAAAUCACACACACACAAAAUACAUUCUACUUUUUAAGAAAAUUGACUUAGAUUUAAUCCCAGCUCUGCUAUUUGCUAACCAUGCAAUUUUGGGAAAGUAACGACCUAUUGGAGCCUGUUUCCCAUCUCCAAAGUGAGAAUGAUUAAUGCUAUACCUACUUCACUGAGAAGAAGAGUGUAUCAUGGUCAUAUUGACCCCUCACUAUGUGCAUAGAGAUGCUGAGCUAAACUCUUUACAAGCGUUUAUUUAAUCCUCAAUAUACCAGUGACUAGAGGCUAAGCAGUUUACCAAAGCAUUUUCCUUUCCCUCCUUAGCACACAGGACUAUAUUUCCUGGCCUCCUUUGCAGUUAGGUGCAGCCACAUUACUGUGUUCUAGCCAUUGAAAUAUGGAAAGAAAUGAUCAAUACUACCUCCAGCCCUGGCCCAUAAAACUUUCCUUUCCAUUCUUCGUGCUCUCAUUCUUCCUUCAUCUGCCGGAGGAUUCAGCAGAACCAUUAGGUGCACAGAGCUCUUCUCUCCUCCCACUACUUCCAACGUGCAUUGAACUGUGAUGUGAGCCAGAAAUAAACUCUUAUUGUGUUAAAU
rnacentral:lncRNA from 1 species